CCUACGGGAGGCAGCAGUGGGGAAUAUUGCACAAUGGGGGAAACCCUGAUGCAGCGACGCCGCGUGAGUGAAGAAGUAUUUCGGUACGUAAAGCUCUAUCAGCAGGGAAGAAAAUGACGGUACCUGACUAAGAAGCCCCGGCUAACUACGUGCCAGCAGCCGCGGUAAUACGUAGGGGGCAAGCGUUAUCCGGAUUUACUGGGUGUAAAGGGAGCGUAGACGGCAGCGCAAGUCUGGAGUGAAAUCCCAUGGCUUAACCAUGGAACUGCUUUGGAAACUGUGCAGCUAGAGUGCAGGAGAGGUAAGCGGAAUGCCUGGUGUAGCGGUGAAAUGCGUAGAUAUUAGGAGGAACACCAGUGGCGAAGGCGGCUUACUGGACUGUAACUGACGUUGAGGCUCGAAAGCGUGGGGAGCAAACAGGAUUAGAUACCCCGGUAGUC
rnacentral:rRNA from 1 species